CCUACGGGCGGCAGCAGUGGGGAAUUUUGCACAAUGGGGGAAACCCUGAUGCAGCGACGCCGCGUGAGUGAAGAAGUAAUUCGUUAUGUAAAGCUCUAUCAUCAGGGAAGAAAAUGACGGUACCUGUGUAAGAAGCCCCGGCUAACUACGUGCCAGCAGCCGCGGUAAUACGUAGGGGGCAAGCGUUAUCCGGAUUUACUGGGUGUAAAGGGAGCGUAGACGGCAGUGCAAGUCUGGAGUGAAGGGCGGGGGCUGAACCCCCGGACUGCUUUGGAAACUGUACGGCUGGAGUGCAGGAGAGGUAAGUGGAAUUCCUAGUGUAGCAGUGAAAUGCGUAGAUAUUAGGAGGAACACCAGUGGCGAAGGCGGCUUACUGGAAUGUAACUGACGUUGAGGCACGAAAGCGUGGGGAGCAAACAGGAUUAGAUACCCGAGUAGUC
rnacentral:rRNA from 1 species